rnacentral:rRNA from 1 species
CCUACGGGUGGCAGCAGUGGGGAAUAUUGCGCAAUGGGGGCAACCCUGACGCAGCGACGCCGCGUGAGGGAUGAAGGUCUUCGGAUCGUAAACCUCUGUCAGCAGGGAAGAACGGUCACUGUGCUAAUCAGCAGUGAAUUGACGGUACCUGCAAAGGAAGCACCGGCUAACUCCGUGCCAGCAGCCGCGGUAAUACGGAGGGUGCGAGCGUUAAUCGGAAUUACUGGGCGUAAAGCGCGCGUAGGCGGUAUGUCAAGUCAAGGGUGAAAUCCCCGCGCUCAACGUGGGAACUGCCUUUGAAACUGGCAAACUGGAGUGUGUGAGAGGAUAGCGGAAUUCCAGGUGUAGGGGUGAAAUGCGUAGAUAUCAGGAGGAACAUCAGUGGCGAAGGCGACUAUCUGGCACAUAACUGACGCUGAGGAGCGAAAGCGUGGGUAGCAAACAGGAUUAGAUACCCUUGUAGUC